CAAGGAGUUUUCCGCAAUGGGCGCAAGCCUGACGGAGCAACGCCGCGUGGGGGAUGACGCCCUUCGGGGUGUAAACCCCUUUUCUUGGGGACGAAGCAGUGACGGUACCCGAGGAAGAAGGCCCGGCUAACUACGUGCCAGCAGCCGCGGUAAUACGUAGGGGCCGAGCGUUGUCCGGAGUUACUGGGCGUAAAGCGCGCGCAGGUGGCGAGGCAAGCCUGACGUGAAAGCCCCCGGCUCAACCGGGGAGGGUCGUCGGGGACUGCCUGGCUUGAGGGCGGCAGGGGCUGGUGGAAUUCCCGGUGUAGUGGUGAAAUGCGUAGAGAUCGGGAGGAACACCCGUGGCGAAGGCGGCCAGCUGGGCCGGCCCUGACACUGAGGCGCGAAGGCGUGGGGAGCGAACGGG
rnacentral:rRNA from 1 species